UUAGGCGAGAUGCCCAAGGUUAGAAGAUAUUUUCCCCUUUCUUUGAUUUCUAUCCCUGCCUCUGCUACUACUGGACAGAUAUUCUCUCUCUCUCUCGGUCUCUCGAUCUCUCAGAUUUCUUUUUCUUUCUUCCAUUCGAUUCAUUGUCAUAACAUUGAAUCGAAUAUCUGUUCCCAAUAAUAUUAAUCAGAGUUAUCUUUCCUAAACCUAUAUCUCAGAAACAAACCGAUCUUCAUAAACCAAACCCAAUCUUUCAAUAAUACGUUUGAACCCUAGAAGUUUGAUUUUCUCUGACAUAAACCUUAGAAAACGAAAUCUCUAUACUUUAUGCACGACCUAUUGCUGACUAGUCCAAGAAUAUGAGUUUAUAAAAUCCUAGAUUCUUCAUAUUGAGAAGAUUAGUCAAAAGAAGAGAAGUAGGAAGAAUUAGAUUUUGGAGGGUUCUCAAGCACAACAGUUUCAUGGUGAGCCAUCUAAAUGACAUUGGUAAGAGAUUAGACAGGGAAUCAGUAAAGUGCAACCCACUUUAACAGAAAUCAGUGAACUAGUGAUGCUUCCAAGCCGUGUUCCAAGCGUUGUGGAAUACCUUGUCCAGUGGGAGGAAUUAUUAUCUACGCUGCACAUGUUAUGUCUUCUUAGAAACUGAUUAUGUGAAACUGCGUCCCUUUGUUAUUCAAUGAAUUGGUAGUGGCAUUUAGUUGGGUUCUUCAGUUUACUAAGAGGCUUUUCAGCAUUAUUUCAAUUAUUAUAUUACUUUUCAUGCUUGCAUAGGAUAAGAAUCAGAUUUACCUGUCAUCCGUGAAACAUCCAACGUAAUUGCAUUAGGGAGCUGAAUUCGGGUGAGCUUUUGUCCAAACAAAAGUUUCAUUAGUACCAAAUUCGUUAGAAUAUUGUAGCUUUAUUAGGAUUUGCUAAUUGCUAUUAAUGUUACUACUUGGGGUAAAUUGUGCGCUAAUAUUUCUAGUAUUAUGAAGAUUUAUGUCAAAGUGAUUGUUUUACUCUUGAAAUUGAGUUGGAUUUUUUUUUGUGUACAGAUUGAUGGGGGAUCAAAUGUUGAGAAACUUGGGGUUGCAAAACAUCCAAACUUUUAUUAAAAUGGUGCUGACAUUUAUGUUAGCAUCUCUCUUUCCUUGGGAUUGCAUCAAACUUGGAUUUGAUCUUGUAUUGGGUACCUCCAAUGUAGACGAUGGAUCGUGCGGUCACUUAACAAAGUAUAGUUGUAGCUCUGGAGAUAUAAAUCACAAUUAAUGGAAGCAUUGAUAAGCCGGAUCUUCGAGUAUUUCUGAAUUGGGAUGAAGUCCAUCUCGAUUUUCCAUUGUCAAGAUACCCCUCCAACUCAUCCAACUGGUACGUUGGAUCCUGUAUGAUUCAAUUAUAGUUAGGUAUUGGUUCAUUGAGGGUUGGGUUGAAUUCUUGACAACUGCAGUGUCUAUCAGAAGCACAAGAUAGAUAAAUCUAUGGAUAUGGAGUUGCAUCGAAAUGUUAAUUGUAGAUCUUGUCAAAGGUAACCACUUGGUUCUAGAUAUUGGACUGGAACAACUUAAACUCUACAUGGCUGAAACAAAGUUGAAAUGGCAGAAGUAAUUAAACCGGGAAAAGUUCUGUAUGAACAAUUAAAAUCAGAAGAGGAAGCUAGCUGAAACGUUAGGAUCCAAAUGGAGGAGCAAGGAUGAGCUAAAGCGCUUUUAUGAAGCAUAUGGGAAAGACUUCAUUUUUGUUUUUUCUUGUAUUUGCUUUGUUACUUAUGUUAACAAUAGUAAAAAUGGCAAAAUAACAAAUCUGGAUCUUGGGUGAUUGUUGAUUCUUGAAGUAGUAUAAUAUGUAUACAAAUUGUUCUUCACUAUUAUAUUUGAUUCUAGUUUUGUAUUCAGCUGAAUCCAAAGAUGAUUCAGCUGAAUCAAUUUUCUUUUUUUAUAAAA